GGAAAAGGAGAAGGCUGAAGGGGGAAAGAGGCCUCUAGGACCUGGGACUCUGGGGCCCAGGGUCCAUCCUUGUGGGGCAAGAUGGACAGAUGCUACAGCAUGAGGAACACGAGUUAGGUUACAGGAGGGACGUCCACAUGGGAGCCCCUGGAAUAAUGGGGCUUGGGGAAGGGGUAGGGGAGCAGAGGCAGAGUCUACUGCUCCUGGAAAGUGGGAGAAGAGAGAAACCUGAUCUGCAGAUCACAGACUCUGCAGGCCCUCACCCGAGGCCAUUCGGUCCCUCCUCCUGUCCCCGAGCCAAGCAGCCCCUUCCCUGGUGCUGUCACUUGAGAUGCUCCUCUUUGUCUUUCGAAGGUAUGGCUUCCACUCUGAAGCUCUUGUUCAGUUACAAGGUAAAGCUCCCUGAGCAGGGAAUCCUGGACCUCCAGCGCCGGCGUAGCACAUGGCACACAAUAGCCGCUCAAUAAAUAUUUGUUGAAAAAUGAC
rnacentral:lncRNA from 1 species